CCUACGGGAGGCAGCAGUGGGGAAUAUUGCGCAAUGGGCGAAAGCCUGACGCAGCGACGCCGCGUGAGGGAUGAAGGUCUUCGGAUUGUAAACCUCUGUCAGCAGGGAAGAACGGUCACUGUGCUAAUCAGUAGUGAAUUGACGGUAACUGCAAAGGAAGCACCGGCUAACUCCGUGCCAGCAGCCGCGGUAAUACGGAGGGUGCGAGCGUUAAUCGGAAUUACUGGGCGUAAAGGGCUCGUAGGCGGUAUGUCAAGUCAAGGGUGAAAUCCCCGCGCUCAACGUGGGAACUGCCUUUGAAACUGGGAAACUAGAGUGUGUGAGAGGAUGGUGGAAUUCCAGGUGUAGGGGUGAAAUCCGUAGAUAUCUGGAGGAACAUCGGUGGCGAAGGCAACUAUCUGGCACAUAACUGACGCUGAGGAGCGAAAGCGUGGGUAGCAAACAGGAUUAGAUACCCGAGUAGUC
rnacentral:rRNA from 1 species